rnacentral:misc_RNA from 1 species
UGGCUUUUGCAGUGACCUGGG